AGAAGCGAAAGGAGGCGAAAUUCUGAACGGAAACAUCUGUUUCUUGUAUUAUAAAGUGUAGGGGAGAAAAGGACGCCGAAAUAACCACCAGUGAUAGAAAUUAAUAUCAGUAGAGCAACUCUCACACUUCACUCUAUCCUCAGUUCUAGCGGAGUAGGCUAGACAGGUAUUAUUGCUAUUUUACAGAUGAGGAAGUUGAGAUUUGGCCACUAAAAAGCUGCAGAGGCAGAGUUUCAGCAGAUUCAUUGGAGAAACACUGAAAUGAGACGGCGUAAGUGGAGCGGAGGGGAGAGAAGAAAGUUGAGAUGGUGAGCUGGGGUAUUUUUAAACGGGCUGACGGUGAAACCUCGGAGGACCUGAAAAAUUGACCAGAAUUGAUAGGAUUAGCAAUUUGUACCUACCGCUGGCUGAAACAAAAUGUGUUGUUUAUUUCUUACAGCCUCUCCAGUUAUUUUAAGGCGAUAAGCUUAUUUUUAUAGGCGCAGAGGAACUUCAGCGUGUUCGUGCUGCCAGUCACUCGGCUCUUUGGGAGAGGCAGAAUCAAGUAGUUCAGACCUUCCUCCACUUACCGUGGGGUUAUGUCCAGAUAAAGCCAUGGAAGUGGAAAAUACAUUACUACACCUAACCUAGGAACAUCAUGGCUUAGCCCAACCUACCUUAAACUUGCUCAGAACACUUCCAUUAGCCAACAGUUGGGCAAAGUCAUCUAAUUGGGCAAAGUCAUCUAACACAAAGCCUAUUUUUAUUAUGAAGUGUUGAAUAUCUUGUGUAAUUUACUGAAUACUGUACUGAAAGUGAAGAGCAGAAUAGUUGUAUGGGUACAGAAUGGUUGUAAGUGUACCGGUUGUUUACCAGGUGGCUAACUGGGAGCGGUGGUUACUACCACUGUUGAGCAUGAAGAGAGAGUAUCGUACUGCAUAUACAUAGCCCCGGGAAAAGAUCAAGAUUCAGAAUUCGAAAUGUGUUUUCUACUGAAUGCAUAUCGCUUUCAAGCCAUUGAAAAAUUGAAAGGAGAACUGUUAUACGUGCAGGACCCUCUGUAGUUAAAAGCAGGAGCUAACUUCAAACUACCUAGGCUCAAAUUCUGACUCUGCCCUGUACUUGUUCUGUGACCUUGGCCGAUGUAGCCUAUAUGCUUCACUUUACUCAUCUGCAAAAUAGCAAUGAUAAAUCUAUUAUGAGAGAUAAAAAUGAGUUAGUACAUGUAAAAUGCUUAGAACAAUGCCUGGCUUGGAGUCAGGCACUAGUUCAGCGUUCACAUAUUAUUUUGUUUCAUUUGCUUCAGAGUGAUAGGCAAUGUAACUCCUACACAGGCUGCGUCUCGCUUCUGUCUCCUCCCAAGCGUUUUUUCCUACCAGUGAUCAUUAUACCACUUGUAAUCUGUGUACUCAGUAAAUUACAUAUACUACUUGUGAGGGCCUCCCACGUCCCAAGAAUAAUUCAAGUGCUGGAUAAACAGGGUGGACAAGCUCCUGACCCGAAAGGAAUGUAUGCCCUCUUUGGAGGAGACAAACAAUUAAAACCUACACAAUUAAAUAAAACAAUUUCACAUACUAAAUACUAUCAGUAUUUGAGGAUGAGGAGGCUAUUUUAAUCGGGCUAAUUGCAGGAAGAGGUCACUUUGUAGAGGUGCCAUUUGAGUUAAGUAAAUCCUUCAUGAUGAGAAGGAUCAACCAGAAAAUCAUCUGCAGGAGAGGAAAAGUCUUUCAAGCAGAAGGAGCCACAUGAGCCAAGACUGAGGUUGGAUGAGCCUGACAUGGUCCGCAGACAGGGAUCGUGAAGAAGGAGGGGAGUGGACAGACCCUACAUCCACACGCUCAGACAGCCGACUGACUUUCAGAAGGCGCAAGGGGAUUACAAGCAUUCUGCAGGGAUACACUGGCUCAUUUGAAGCUUUGACCUUCAAGGUUUCAAAGGAAGGAGCCGAGAUGCACAUAAGUAGAAGGCAGUAUUCUCAUCUGCAAGCUGCUGUUAACCACCAUGCUUUGCUGCAAUAAGGAGAUUUACUGGAAAGCCAGGGGAAGUUCACAGAAUAGAAAAGAGGCAGUUUGGAAAAAGGGCAGGAGUCAAGGAUGCCACGGAAGCAGCAGCAAGGGCCACGCCCCAUCACUCCGGGGACUGGUCUGGCCUGGGAGCUCCUCUGCCACCCAGAUGCAGCUGACCUCCAAACAUUUUCUCCUGUUGCAUCUGCUCCCAAGCUUCAGAGUCCUGGAGUCAAGGAUAUGCGGGUGAGUUUCUGGCAUGGCUCUUCCUGCCCUCCUCCCUGCACUGUAUCAGGAGUGGGUAAAAGAUAUCUCUGACCCCCUUGGUUUCCAUAAUGGGAGGUGGCAAUGGAAAGCAGUCACUGGGAUCUGUCUUCUUUCCAAGAUUACAUACAAUGGAAAAUUCUACCAGUAGGAAUAUGUGGUG